CCCAUGUUGGCCAGGCUGGUCUUGAACUAGUGACCUCAGGUCAUCCGCCCGCCUUGGCCUCCUAAAAUGUUGGGAUUAUACGCGUGAGCCACCCCAGGCUGAGGCUCUGCAUUUCUAACAAGCUCUCUGGUGACAAAAGUGUGAGUGUGGGAACAGUGCUUUGAAAAGCCAGGCUCAAGAUGCCCCUUACAGCCUGUUAACUGCCAAGUAACAUCCCUGCCUGCCUGUGCUUGUGUAUGCUUAUAUUUGAUCUAAGUUGUGCUGCUUUCAUUGUCACAGAUGAAAAGGAAUGAAGACAGCCAACUAUUGUUUGGCAGCCUCCUGGUUACCAAGAACAUGCACCGUUGUCAGAGCAGAAUCCAUGAGAUAGAAUUGAUGGGCACACGUACUUGGUGGAGCAGAAUUGGGAGCUCUGUGCCAUCAGCACUCUCCGUCCCUGCUCGCCCUUCAUUUCUGCUGUCUGGGCCUGACUUCUCUGGGCACAGACUUUCUCCAGGCAUUCCUGACAUCUGGGACUUUGUGACAGCCUGUUUGGAUUAGAUGGCAAUUCCCUGUCAGCCACCCUGGAAACUCACAUAGGUGCCCACAGGGACUUCGCCUCACUAUCAGAUCAUGAUAUAUGUGACCUUCCCUUGCACAUAGCCUUGGCCUAGAGGACACUUGGAAACUGGGUGAUGCGUGAAAUCGUGGGAGGCUGCAGAGCAGAGAAGAACGAGCUGGAUUUUGAGGUCUCUCUGACUUGAGCUUGGAUCAUGGAUCUGCUACUUUCCAGUCCUGUCAGUUCGGGCAACAUGUGCAGUCUCUUGGAGCCUGUAUCUUCUUCUGUAAUAAUAACAAUAUCUCACUGGAAAAGUUGUGAAUAGGAAAUAAAUAAUGAGCGUAACA